rnacentral:rRNA from 1 species
GACGAACGCUGGCGGCGUGCUUAACACAUGCAAGUCGAACGGAAAGGCCCUGCUUUUGUGGGGUGCUCGAGUGGCGAACGGGUGAGUAACACGUGAGUAACCUGCCCUUGACUUUGGGAUAACUUCAGGAAACUGGGGCUAAUACCGGAUAGGAGCUCCUGCUGCAUGGUGGGGGUUGGAAAGUUUCGGCGGUUGGGGAUGGACUCGCGGCUUAUCAGCUUGUUGGUGGGGUAGUGGCUUACCAAGGCUUUGACGGGUAGCCGGCCUGAGAGGGUGACCGGCCACAUGGGGACUGAGAUACGGCCCAGACUCCUACGGGAGGCAGCAGUGGGGAAUAUUGCACAAUGGGCGGAAGCCUGAUGCAGCAACGCCGCGUGCGGGAUGACGGCCUUCGGGUGGUAAACCGCUUUCGCCUGUGACGAAGCGUGAGUGACGGUAAUGGGUAAAGAAGCACCGGCUAACUACGU